ACUGCACUCCAAUCCUCUCUUUGGAACCUGCAACUGAAUAUUGCUCCUAAAUGGGAAGACUGUCUUGCAAGGGGACAACUGCCACAAUAUUGCCAAAAUUAGAAUCCAGAGGAGGUAACACGGUGCCAUCUCCAAGCCUGUGGCUCGAGAGGUCGGAAAAGAAGCUCUUUCUAAUUGGAAAACAGCCAGCAAAGUUGUUAAUUCCAAAAAACAAGUAUGUCUCUGGAGUUAAAAAAUUUUCUGUAAAGAGCCACAGUGGCUUUGCCAUCUCUAACACACUCCAAGAACUAGUAUCCUUGCCACACAUUCCCGAAGAGAUUAAUGUUAUAUUGGAGUCCUUAGAAACAAGAACAUACCAAUCAUAUCCUUCAAUCAGUCUCAACAAUGAAAAGCCUGAGAGCCCCUUUGCAGUUUGUCUGGGCUAUCUGAAGAUUUCUGGCCAAUAGUUUGUAAGGGGAAUUGGAACACUUCAAUUCUCAUCUGAUACAUUUAAGGAAAGAUACAAGUUCUCCACACUUUGCUUCCAACUUCACAGACAAGAGAUCUAAGAACUUGGAGAUGGAGAGUGACAGGAAGGGACCAGCUCAAUCUCUGAGUUUCUGCUGGAGAAGGAUGACCAGGGAAACUACAGCAGACUGUGAUAUGAGUUGGAGAACACAGAGGCCCAAGCUCUCAUGGGGAAUCAGCAUCAGACAAGAAGCUGGCCUCCAGCUCUCCAGAUGCCCAAGCCUGGGCUUUCCAUCAAGAAGUGUAAAGAAGAAGCUCUGUAAAGUGGAGAUGGCUUUGGAG
rnacentral:lncRNA from 1 species